ACCAGAGUGGCUUAGUCGGUUAAGCGUCUGACUUCAACUCAGGUCAUGAUCGUAGGGUCCUGGGAUCAAGCCCCGCAUUGGGC
rnacentral:tRNA from 1 species